AACAAAAUGUGAUUAACAAGAGCCUUAAGAAGUAACAAAAAAAGAAUCCUUUGCAGUGAGAAUAAAACCCCAGCAAUUAUUUUUGGCUAUUCCAGACCUGCAGCCUGAGCUUUUGCUGGCAGGGUGUGCAACGCUCUCAGCCAUCCUGGCCACUACCCGCUCCCCUUUGCAUUCCUCCUGCCUUGUUAUUUCAGACAGUCUGGCCUGGAAAGAUGUUGAUUCCCUUCUCACCAGUUCUCUCCUGCUUGGCCUUGCUCUGGACAGAGCUGCACCUCCUGGCAAGGCUGACAUGAAGGAGACUUGUUUGAACCACCUUAAGGGUCCUUUCUCCAAAUGUUGUGAGAGCAUUUCAGUCAGACAUUCCUCACUGGAAGUGCCUCAGCAGCUCUUGGAGGAGGACCAGUACACAGGAUUCCCUGCCCCUCUCCAGGAAUCUGCCCCAUGAAAUCUUCUCCUGCUCAUCCUCUCCCUGGCUCCUCCACAGGGGCUUAGCAGAAAGGAGGGAGGAUGGUCCACCCUGGUUGGGUGUCUGGCCUGAAGGUGAGAGCUGUCAACAGAAACAUCCCUGGGUUCAGCAUCUCCAGCCAUUCCCUGGAAUUUAGAUUUCCAUGGGGUCUUCUCCUGGGACCUCUGCCCACUUCUUCCAGACUGGAGCAGGAGCUCCAUUUGUCUCUAGAUAGCUGGAACACCAAGCUUAGAAAUAUUUUACUUUUCCACUGAUAAGAAAGAUGUGCCUGGCUUGGCUGCUCUGAACCAUUCUGCUCCAGCUGGGUUUCUGGAGGAUGGGUGUUUCAAAAGCCUGCCGUGUCCACCCAAAGUAGGUGGUGGCAUGAUGGUCCCUUGAGAUGCUCAAAGCAUGUCCUGAACUAAAUCCUGCACCAAGCACCACAUUGCUAGUUCUGUAAGUGAAUGGCACUUAGGUUAAGUAUGUAGACACUCUGCUACCGUUGUGUUCUAUUAAAUAUUCUCCUCGCUACGUA